rnacentral:rRNA from 1 species
UACGGAGGGUGCAAGCGUUAUCCGGAUUCACUGGGUUUAAAGGGAGCGUAGGUGGCUUUGUAAGUCAGUGGUGAAAUCUUAGAGCUUAACUCUAAAACUGCCAUUGAUACUGCUUAGCUUGAAUCACGUCGAGGUGGAUGGAAUAUUACAUGUAGCGGUGAAAAUGCUUAGAUAUGUAAUAGAACACCGAUUGCGAAGGCAGUUCACUAGGCGUGUAUUGACACUGAGGCUCGAAAGCGUGGGGAUCAAACAGG